GUGUCAGCAGCCGCGGUAAUACGUAGGUGGCAAGCGUUGUCCGGAUUUAUUGGGUUUAAAGGGUGCGUAGGCGGCCUUAUAAGUCAGUGGUGAAAUACUCCAGCUUAACUGGAGGGGUGCCAUUGAUACUGCAAGGCUUGAGUGGAGUCGAGGUAGGCGGAAUUGACGGUGUAGCGGUGAAAUGCUUAGAUAUCGUCAAGAACACCGAUAGUGUAGACAGCUUACUAGGCUUCUACUGACGCUGAGGCACGAAAGUGUGGGGAUCAAACAGGAUUAGAUACCCCGGUAGUCC
rnacentral:rRNA from 1 species